rnacentral:lncRNA from 1 species
UAGACAUGUGGGCAUGGGGUGCAUGUGUACACGCAUGGGAACUGGUCGUCAGCCUGCCUCUGUGGAUGGUAAAUAAAUGUCCUAAAGAGGGUGGUUCCUAUUCAUUGGUCGGUUGGGGCUGUUCUCUGGUGUGUGGGUCCGCGCUCCCGGUAAGUCGGUUGUGGGUCGGUCAUUCACGAGGUUCUCUUUGUCCUUCCUGGUCACUGUCUCUGGCGUUUCUUGGGUUGUGGCUUGGGUGGGUUUGGUGAUCUGCCUCGCUGUUUUUGCUCUGUCCCGCUCUAUUCUGGCAUUGGCGGCGUGCGCUUGUUCCGCUGGGGCUGUUUCGUUCUACCCUUUUUGAUGUCCCUCUUAUGUUCUUGGAGCCUUUGGCGCAGCGUCCUCAUGGUGGCUCCAAUGUGGCUGGC